UAACGAAUCAGGUGUCCAUUUGGACUUAAUAGGGAAUUCAGUACACAUACAAAAUGUAAAGCUGAAACGGUCCCGCCACUGUAUGAGGGAGACUGUUCAAAAUCAUGUCACUGGAAAAUUUUUUCUGGGAAGGCUUGAACAGGACAAUGAACUCGAGUCAGGAGAACUGCCUGAUUAAC
rnacentral:ncRNA from 1 species